rnacentral:lncRNA from 1 species
AUUGAAUCUGUUAGAAGUUUUAGACUUGCAUGUGUUAGUUUUCUGUCCUGGGUUGAGACAGGACACAGGUUCGAUGUUAUUAUAAACAGGUGAAAGACAGAUAUUUUAUUUCAAUUGCUUUAGUUUGACCAAACUGAUUUUAAUUUCCUUUUUAGAUGCCUUGGGUGGAUUUUCUCCUACUAUUGGCAAGAGACUAUACCUGGUGGCUUUUCAUAAUUGGUACUAUAUGGUAUUUGUUGGCAUGCUUUAAGAGGAUAUGUUAAAAUAGAUUUUUAAUUAUUUUUUUGGGUUUAUGAUUCGUACUUUUCAUUUUAUUUUCUAGUAACUAUUGCAAUGCGCAUCUCUUUUAAGUUUUCUAGUGCUCAUGUAUCAGACUCCACUCCAUUAUGCAGUAGAAAAUAACAGCGUUGCAUUUUGAUCUGUGCAUUUGAUGUACUCAAUUAUGUCAAUGUAUAUCAUUGAUUUUCUAGUUGUGUUGUAAUCGUAUACUACCUAUAAGCAAUGACAUUUUAUCUUAAGGUUAAACUUAAGACAUGCUUGUAAUAUUGCCCGAUGUCAUUGUUAAUCCAAUCCCUUCGGCAGACACGACAUUCUUGCCUGUUAUGAUUUAUUCUAGUUCUUCCAGUGUUACGAGUGUUUGUUCAGAUUGAAUGAUUGAAACCUUUUAAAAUUUUUAUUCCCGCACGAAUAGUGAGUUUGUUUCUGUCUACGUUGAUAGCCACUGAUUUUAAUGUUUAAAAUCUAACCUCGAAUUGCCUUUUUGUUUGAGUUCAAUUAUUUUAAAGGCUUGAUCACUCACUCUGCUGGGCACUUUCAUUCGUGUAUCAUCUUUGUUCUGUUUUUUUGGUAUUCUUAAAUGAAGUGGACUUUUCUCUCUCAAAAAAAUGAAGUGGGCUUUUAUCAUCUUUAUCAACAAUUGGUUAAUACAAAUAAAAAAUAAUUAUUAUAAACAUUUUUGUAUUUUUAAUUUUAAAAUAAAAGUCCAUUAUUUUAAAUAAUUCAAACAAAAAAUUAUCUUAAAAUUAUUUUAAUAUUAAAAUAUGUAAUUGUAAAAUUUAUUUCAUAUAAUUGAUUGCAUGCAUAAUUAACUAUUUAAAUAAUCUCGAAAAAUAAUUCCAUCCAACAAAUUACAAAUAGUAAAUGCAUUUACAUUUUGUUUGAUAGGAUCCGGGAGAUAACAGGGAAACUAAGAAAAGGAGAAGGAAAUAGAAGGGAUAUGCAAACUUGAGCUUAUUUGGUGAAAAGGGAAACAUGAUAGAAAGAAAUUUAAAGUUGGUGGAGCCUAUAUUAAAAAAUUAGUUAAAAUCUAAUUUUUAUCUUUUCUAUUUUAUCCUAUCCAUAUUUUUUGAUCUUUUAACUAUAAAAUUGAGAUAAAUUGAGAUAAUUAGUUCCUAUGUUUUUUAAAAAACGGGAUUUUGGUCUCUCCAUUAAAUUUAAUGGUUGACCGUUAACUUUUUGCUUUGAUUGUUAAGUGAGUUGUAAUUUUUGUUUUAUUUUUUUUAAUUAACAUAUUCAUUGGUAGACCAUUUAAUUUUAAAAAAAUACGAAAGUUAUGAACAGAACCCUAAAGUCUAAUCUUCUCCCCCUCCUCUUCAUCCUCCCCUACGGUGUUGAUGUUUUUUUAAGCUUCAUCUUCCCCUAAACUCCAUCCCCUAAGCUUCAUCUUGCUGGAAUUACGAGGGCAGUGAUAGAGGACAAAAUUACGCAAGUAGAGUAGAUAUUUAUCUUUCUAUGGUAGUGAACAUUCGAAUAUCAAAUAAUGGGAGUUUGGAUUUUACCUUAGAUGGCCUUCUCUAACACCCUUCUUCGGCGUUAUUUUACAUGUUUGAAGAAGUCGAAAGGACCUGGAUGUGGAGCCCUACAACUUGCACUCAUUGUGCCAGAAUUCAUAGGCAAAGUAGACGGAUGCCAUGGCAAUCUGAGUCUCAUAGUGAAGACAACGACACCAUAAUUGGUGCAGCACCUGCAGAUAAUGACAACAAGCAAAAUGCAAGAAAUAAUGGAAGGUUCUUGGGGAUGUUAACGUAGGAACUAUGAGAGAAAUAUUAUGUUUUUUAUAAGGAAGUUCUUAAC